ensembl:lncRNA
UACAAAACAACUUAAAUGUGCGCCAGCAAAGUUAUUGUUGUUUCUCUCCUGAUCCGUAGCUCGGCUUGUGUAGCUGCAUCUAGAACGCGAACUAAAAACAACACAUUUAUUUUGAAGGCGGCGACCGGAAGUCCCCCAAUUGAAUUUCAAGAAGUGAACUUUUUCCUUUGCGUGAAAUUCCUCUAGUUUCUUUUGUUUGCAUGUCAGCAGCAACGAUAGCGAGUGGAUAUCUGGCAUUUGUAAUGUCCCCGACUGGAAGCAGCUAACAUUGCGACACACAGUCCUCCUCCCCGGGCCGGGAGAGCGAGGGGGAGAGAGGGGGAGACUCCCGGUGCAAAGGGAGGGAAGGGGGACCGUUGAGGAAGGAGUGGCGGUUAUGUGGCAAAACUCUCAACCUCUCUGAAGAGUUGUGUCCUCGCUUGUGUAUUUGUGGAGAAAGGGCAAGGUGAAUCCCAUCCAGCACUUCGUCCCAUAGGAGGAUCCGUGUAACGCGCCCGUGCAGGGAUGGAGGGAGAGAAGGAGCGACAGAGGCAGCAGCGGGAAGAGAAGGAGAGCAACGAGGCGGAGGACAACAGGACCAGCGACGAGGACGCCGACAAUGAUGAAGUGGAGGAGGAGGAAGAUUCAGAAUGCGCAGCCCUGGUCUGGCAAGAGGGCUAUGGCGAAGACAACCUGGGCCUUCCCAUCAUGCACUGGGAGGCGCUAAGCCUGCGCAUUGCCGAGCUGGAGAAGCAGGAGGAGGAAAACAAGGAGAAGAAGGCAAAGAGGGGAGUUUCUCUUGAGAGAGGAAGAGCACCGGUCAGCUGGACGGAGGAGAGAGGAAGAAGAAGGGAGAGCUGGGAAGACGGAGAUGAUGCCUGCAACAGCCACGUGCUGGCGCUCACCUCCCGCCUGCAGACGCAGAUGAACCUGCAGCUCUGCUUCAUCAACAACAGUGAAAGUGAGGAGGAGGAAGAGGACGAGAAGAAGACUCCUCAGCCUCCUGCCAAGCCGGAGAAACCCAAAUCCAGAGGCUUCAGGAACACCCUGAGGAACCUACGAGACCGCCUGAGAACUGACCACAGGACGCCGGCUGCAGCUCGUAGUGAACCUGUAGUCCAGAAAAAACAUGUUGAGCGCAGUGAUCUACAGAACCUCAGCAUGAAGGACCUGAAUGCACUUUGUGCGUCUCUCAGCCAGAACAUCCAAGACCUGAGCUCAGACCUGGUGGGCCGCCUGCAGGCCCGAGACCAGCUGAGGACGGAGCAGGACGCCAUGCUGCUGGAGGUCCAGGACCUGACGUCGCAGUGAGCCUGCGGAUCGCUCCGAGCUGGAGUUCCCACAGACACACAAUCUUAAAUGUUCUGAGUCGGCCUCUACGAACAUCUCAGUCAGUCCCUCCGCCUGUCGGUCUGACCAGCCAAACAAUGUGAAGAGUGUCGCUCCCUGAAAGGACAAGGACAUUCCGUUUUAAUGUUACUCAGUGUAUUAUGUAUUUAUAAGGAAACCUUUGUCCACCAGCAGUGGUUUGAAACUCGUGGCAGAACCAGCUUUGUUCAGUCACAGUUGUACGGUACGGUCGACAAACAGAAACUGAGUAAAACGCCACAUCUGGGCAGUGGUUGCUGACCUGAGAGGAACAAACUCUUUUCAUCCGGGUCACGUUUUUGGGCGGUUCUAGACACGGAGAGAUGUCACUGAUCAAGUGUCUGACAUCAGAGUCGUCGCUCAAAGGAUCCGAGUAGUGUUGAUGAAGUCCAUCUUCAUUUCCCUCAUCGUGGGGAUUUAUGACCACUUGUGCCGACACUAAGGAGCAACGUUUCCGUCAGCAGAUCCCAGUCCUUUUCGUAUCUGGCUCAAGAGUAUAUUUUCAAAAUACUACGUACAAAAAUAGGGGAAAGACUUACGGUUGGAUGACUAUUCUCCUCACCCCUCCUGAGUUAUGCGUAUUGUUUAUUUCUUUGAACCGAUAGCCUGGUUAAAUAGUUAAUUAUUAACUUCUCCAUUGCAAAGAGGUUUGCUCUACUAAUGUUGAAAUGUCAUUAACAUUUUUUUUGGACUGUAAGGGUAUUUUUAAGUGCUAUUGUCAGUACUAGUCUGUAACGUGUGGCUCAUCUUUGAACACAAGGAUUCAAAAGGGACUCCUGUUUAGAAGCUGCUAAUUCUGUCAACGCAGAAUUCUAUUUUGUUUUUCUAAUUUGUGUAGUUGUAGUUUUUUUGUAUUAUUUUAUGUUCAUGUUUAUCUUUGUGUAGCCUUUCUCAUCCCUCUUUGUCCAAACAUUAUGUGGUUCAGAACCGAGCCAGAACCAACUUCCAACAGGAAUAUCCUGUAUUCAUCAUUGACAAAUAUAGGUCUUGGCUACAAUCGGCACUUAUCCAUUUGAAAAUACUUCAAAUACAACUCCCAAGUUAUUAAAUAUGUUAUGCAAAUUAUUCCAGAAAAUGUUCACAUCAAAGCUAGAAGCGAAGAAAGACACCGACUUGCCAGACGAGACUACGCGAAAGACGCCGAUAUCCAAAUGACAGGAGGCAAAAAUCCAGAUUUGGACUGUAGUCUCUCUGCCGUGAGGCCUGCGAAAAGCCUCUUCUAGAGUAGUUUCUCUUUGCUCUUCUCAACGUGGAACUUCACACGCUUACUGUCUGUGCUAUCGCGUACAUGUGUUUUAUUUGUUUUGUUAAUUCUCAAAAUCCCUUUUUUUGUCUUUGUCUUUUGUCUAUCUAUUUCUUCACCAGUAACAUAUAAAUUGAUUUUUACACAUCAGAACACUCAGUGUUUAGUGUUUCCUUUAUCCUAACAGGAAAGAAGAAGACAAUUGUUUACACAGACGAGGUGGUUUCAGUGUUAUUACUCUUUUUAUCAUAGGCACGCCAUUUUCUGAGCAAAGGCCAAAAAGCAGGCUCGGGGACCUUAUGUUAAAUUAAGUCCAAGGGUUUUUUGUUAAAGGGUUUUUAAUGUAAAACAAAGUUUUCUCGUCGUCCAGAAUAGCUUAAGAGGAUUUUUUUUUAAGAAGCCAAUUUUAAUUAUUUUGAAUUUACUUUUUGAACCAUUAUACAAUCAUUUUUAACUAGCAUUUAUAAAAAAGUAAAUUAUUCCAUACUGGCUUGGUGUACAGCACACAUUUGGAAUAUGUACAAAUGACAGAUGUUGCGGACCGAGCGCCGGGUAUUUCCACUUCUUAAGGCAGCUCAGUGCAUCGAUGCAGAACACAGAAACCCAAUCAUCUGUCUGAUUUCUUAACAUAAAAGAUGAACUCCUCCACAGUGUUAUUUCACCCAUAAGUGCCUCCACGUUAGUUAGCUCAGAUGGAAGUAUGAGAACAGGAUCUCGUUCAUCUCAUUCUUUUAAUGAAGAAAGUAUAAAUGAUUUAGAAAUAGAGUAGAUUCUGGUAUUAUUCUGUGGAUCGAAGAAUUUAAUUGCACUUACUGUGCCUUUAUCAUUUUGUUGGUGGUUGGGCCAUGUUGUUUCCAUUGGAUAACAGGUUGUGCC